AAAUGUUCAAAAUUGAUCCUGAUGGAUGUCUGUAGAGAUCGGACAUGUGUGCUGCUCAAGAAUCUUCAGAUCAAGGAUCAUCGAUUACGGUGUAUAUCAACCCGCAUAAGGUAUUGAGAUGUGAUCUCAAUUUUUAUUUUAUUUUCAGAUUAUAUGCAUGACUUAGAUCCAGGGCUCAGGUAGAUAUAGAUUAGAUCUAUUGCAUGUGG
rnacentral:lncRNA from 1 species